rnacentral:lncRNA from 1 species
AAAAAGCCAAAGAAAGGAAUCAUCUAGAAAUGGUAGCAGCAUUGCAGGAGCGAGCCAUGUCCUUAUGAAGAAUUUUUUCUCUAAUCAUCACCACAGCUUGAGUCCUUCCAACUAAACCAAUGCGUGCGGGUGCAUGUCUGUGAAAGCAAGAGGGAGUAAGAAGGCAAAGCUGCAGGAUGGCAGGACCAGAAUCUCUUCCAUUUCAAAUGAUACAAUCGCAACCUCACUGAAGUCGCUUUCUCUCAUCUUUCUGUUUCAUAACGAGGAACUCUCUCUCUCUCUCUCUCUC